ensembl:lncRNA
AUGGAGAAUUAGUGGUUUUCCUAUCUUGCCAAAAAACCUGAUCUGGUGGGCACUCGUAUCUUUUUCACACCCCUAAUAUCACCUUGACCCCUUAGUAGCCCCAAGCAAAUAAAAGGUGAUCUGAGGUUUGGAUCCUUUUUGAAAAUUGUGGUUUCAAGUUGCUAAGGAUCAGUCUCAAGACAGCUCCAGAAGUGAUCAGCAGUGGUCACAAAUCCUUGCUUUAUUUCCAGAUCCUAGAAGGCAAGUUUUUAAUCAGCUGGAGAAUGAUUUCAGAAAUGUGGCCAUCUUGAUUAUAAAGCUAUUCUGAACAUCUGCAUUCACAGUGCCUGGAAUACAAACAGUUGCAACUAAGGGACAAGGUGGACUACAGCUAUUCCUCUUUCCAAGGCAAGAGCAGCUGCCAAGGCCUUCGCUCCAUCCUUACUUGGCAUCUUUGUACAAAAUAGAGCAAAUAAUAGUAAUGGACUUUUCUCAUACCUGGCAGAGCUUUGGUACCCAGAGAGUGACAGAGCAAAGGUGAGAUAAAACCGAGUUGCAAGAGCAAGACGAAACCCCAGCCCAAAGGAAUCUUCUUCAGCUCUUUGAUAGGGAAAGGCCAGCUUAUCUACGACCAGGCCUGGAAGAUAGAUUUUCUGUGAUGAGAACUACUCUAAUCCCAGACUUUGUAGGCACAUCUGUUUUUUAGAGCUAAUUUGUCUCCUGGGAAGGGGAAGGGCUAAUGUCAGUCUCCAGUGGUUUCCAUGAUCUGACCUCACAGAUUACCAAUCCUGCCACAUCCCCCUGUAGGCACUUGACUGUUGUGUCUUGCUUGUAUAUCUGGCCAACUCUGACCCACCUUGGAAGUCUCUUAAGAAGAGAAGAAAUGUUAUACCUCCACCUGCCCUCUGCAAAGUCCUGUGGACCAGCUCUGAAAUAACUUAAAACAAAGGCAAUAAUUAAAGGAGUACAGACUGCUCCUGAGGCUGCAGGCCGGGUACAUCGCUGCCCUCUCAUAAUAUGUAUAUAUAACCUGUCUACUGAGUGGCUCUAAAUCUGAGCAGGGAAGCGGGAAGUGGUGUGCUUCAGACUCUUCAAUAGUAGGAAUAAAUGGGUGUCUGGUAGAAAUCUAGAUCAACAGUUCUUUAUAUGGGAGCUUGGGCCCCGAAGAAUUCAGUGGUCGGGUUUCAUGGAGUAUAUGGGAAGUACAUGCGGUGUUUUGAUUUUAAAUGCAUUUUCUUUGGGAGAAACUCCCCCAAACUAUGUGUCUUUUAAAAAAAUAAGUCACUGUAUGGAUGGCUCUGAAAUGUCCUCCCAUUGUCAUUGCAGUUCACAUUCCUUCACAGUCCAUACCUUUUCCUGCCAAUGCUCAGCUUCUGCAGUGUAAUGGUCCACAGUUGCCUUUGUGACCUUGUGCCAUUUUGAGAUAUGAGUGAUGUAAAAAUGUACUGAGCCCUUGAAGAGCUUCAGUCCCUAAAGUUUCUUUUACUGUUUUUAUUAAGUUCCUAUGUAUAGGACAAUAAACUGUGCCCUAGAACAGAGAAACUCGCUUGAGAGAAGGAGAUUUUAGCCCAGAAGAAAAUUUUCAAUAUGUUCAUUAUCCAUAAACAAUGGAUUUUAUUGGUUUUUUUGAGUGUUUAUUGGCUGUAUGCAUAAGAACAAAUCAGCUGUUAAUGCAUUUUUUUAUUGAUUGUAAUUGGACUUAAUUAUGACGUGUUGUUCGUAGUACUAAGACAUCAGUUCUGAGUAUAAGAAGAAAACAGCAGCACCUUUUGGUUGCUGGUAUUGGUGAAGAUUUAUGUCAUAUUUCACAGACUAGUCAGCACCUGAUAUUCCACUUGAGAGUUGACAGUGCUCCAGCCUGAGCAGUUGGGAUGUUUCCAUCAGCCAAGAGCCCAGCUCCUUACAUUCCUCUUUCUCCUGCUGGUAAACCAGAGGAUGCUGGCUAACUAAUCAGAAAGAAGGUACAUGCCAGCAAUACAAGUCCUUACACUCUAUUUUCCAGUCCUAGGAAAGGAAUACAAAUAGGACAUGGAAAUGAGUCUUCUCCCUUUGUCGUUCUCAUCCCGUUUAUGAUUUAAUAUGAAGGCUACUUCAUUCAAAGUGUCUUUGGCAUUCAGCAGGUAAAGAUUCCUGAGGUUAGAGAUGAUUUCAUGGAAGAAUGGAGCUUGCUUAUGAGAGAAAAGUGGGAUUCCGAGUGCCAAGGAGAGUGCCUGAGGCAGACAAGGCCCUAUUCAGACCAAAGCAACCUCACCAGGAUAAAUGCGGUACCCUGGAAGGGCACUGAGGGGAGCAGCUUCGCCACAGGGGCAGAGAAAAGUCUUACUAGAUUAAAAAAUGAAGAUUUGAUUAUUUCAACAGUAUUUGGAUUUAGCAAUAAAUUAUCAUGGCUUCUUAGAUUACAGGAAGUGAUAAAAUGGUUUUUUGGGAAAAAUGGUCUAGCAGAGAUAUACAGGAUAUGGUGGAGCUGGAAAAAACUGGCAUCUGAGAAACCAUUUAGAAGAUUAUUGUAUCCGUCAUCACACAGCAAGUGCCAGGAUGUCAUUGGUCAUAUGGAGAAGACGAAGAAAAGGACUGGAAGGAUAGUGCAGAGGAGGGAUGGUAGGCUUUUAUACCUACUUACAGUUGUUAUUCCAAAAAAUCUGAGGUUCCCAGGCUAGGGGUUGAAUCGGAGCUGUAGCCACCGGCCUACGCCAGAGCCACAGCAACGNCCUCUUCUUCACCAACACCCCCAAGCUACUGUAGACUUCAGGAGCCCUCUUCAGGAUUCUUUUGAUCCUGAACACAGGUAACAGGUUCUCAGGAACCCCCUGCAGUUUUACCUGACUUGGUUUCUUGCUUGAGAAUGAAUGUUCCUUAAUCUGUUGACUGACUCAGAUUGCAACAUCUUCCAAAAUGAUACAGUGGAGGUGAGGGAACCUGAAGGACUGGUGCUUGGAGGCUCCAGUACUCUGCUUUCCUAAUCCUGAAUCUGGAACAGGGCCUCCCCACAACAGCUUCAGAUACCUAGUGGGAAGUUAGAGGCCAGGCGAGGAUCUGCCUGGAGGAUGUCUGUCACACUCCUGCACUGUGCCUUCUCUUUCUCCAGUCCCUGUUAGAUGCUUAUGCCUUGGCUUAGAAACUGUUCUGGCAUUAGCAUUCAGCAGAGCAAGUGGAAUCUCCUUAGUAGUCCUAAUUGUCAAAUGGGGAAUAGGAGAAGGAGAAAAAGAAUAGUAGAUGAAGGCUGAGAGUGGUGGCUGUCUGGGAUGUCAGCGGCACACGUGAGACACUUGUAGUCUCUGCUUUGUCAACUAUCUCAUCAGCAGAGGUGCCUGGGUGGCAGAUCUUUCUUUUGUGCAGCCCUACAGCCCAGGACUACAGCCAGCUUCUCCCAGAGGAAGCAGGGUGGGGAAGGGGCCUGUUUAAAUGGAACUCUCCUGGAAGUACCAGUACACAUUUUGUGAGUCUUAACAACUGUUAUAUCCUCAUCCAUCUGCUUCCAGCAUCCUUGGAAUUACACAACUGGAGAAAUGCCAGUAGUCUCAGUUUAUCCCUGAGAGCAAAGGUUCCCAUGCUAAGACUCGAAAGAAUGUGAGCUAGUCCUGAUCAGGUUGUAUGGCCAAGUGUGCUAGGCAAAUUAUUUUCUGGUCUUUGUUCUCUUAGACACUAAUAGCUUCUAAAUUUGCAUGGAAAUUGUCCUGAUAAACCAAUGCCAUUUGAAUCCAAUUUAACAAUAAAACGCCAUUGUUGUGGCAUUGCUUUGUUAAA